AUUGAACGCUGGCGGCAGGCCUAACACAUGCAAGUCGAGCGGAUGAAGGGAGCUUGCUCCUGGAUUCAGCGGCGGACGGGUGAGUAAUGCCUAGGAAUCUGCCUGGUAGUGGGGGAUAACGUCCGGAAACGGGCGCUAAUACCGCAUACGUCCUGAGGGAGAAAGUGGGGGAUCUUCGGACCUCACGCUAUCAGAUGAGCCUAGGUGGGAUUAGCUAGUUGGUGGGGUAAAGGCCUACCAAGGCGACGAUCCGUAACUGGUCUGAGAGGAUGAUCAGUCACACUGGAACUGAGACACGGUCCAGACUCCUACGGGAGGCAGCAGUGGGGAAUAUUGGACGAUGGGCGAAAGCCUGAUCCAGCCAUGCCGCGUGUGUGAAGAAGGUCUUCGGAUUGUAAAGCACUUUAAGUUGGGAGGAAGGGCAGUAAGUUAAUAACCUGCUGUUUUGACGUUACCAACAGAAUAAGCACCGGCUAACUUCGUG
rnacentral:rRNA from 1 species